AGUGGCUCGCAGCUAAAAAUGUUGUGAACCGCUGCUUUGAUCUAUCAAUUAAUCGGUGUGAUUGUGAUGUUUACAAACCAAAAACUUCUGUUUACUUUUACAGGCGGCGAACAUGGCAGCCAGAUGUUGCCCCAUCAAACAAUGUGAUGGGUGAAAUGUUGAAACGUUCAGUAGGAAAGCAGCAUAUGCAAAGACUAUCGGUGCUCAACCACAUGUUCAUGGAAAACAUAACGGAUUAUUUGUCUUCAUGCGAGCUGUCUGAGAAACUUACUGAGUUCAAUUUAGAAAUAUCUGAGGUAAAAAUAUCAGUCGAUUUGAAUUUUUUGAGAGUUUAUUGGAGCAGCACUGCCCGGGACAGUCAUGAUAUAAUUCAAGCAGAGCUAGAAAACAUUGCUUUCCCAUUAAGGAGUGAAUUGUCGCGGUUGCAAGUGAUGGGAUCUGUACCACAAAUUAUUUUGUAAGAGGUUAGACUUUCCACCUUUUUUUCACAAUUUUUGCAUUUUAAGAUGAACGGUAGAAAGGGAAAAAAGGAAAUUUUCCACGUACAACAUCAUCUCCACCAUUUAGAGUCUUCUCCCGUGAGGAAGGCUCUCAAUAGCCAGGAUUCCUGAUUGAAGGUAAAGCAGUUAAUCAGAAUGAUGCUCCGGAAAAUCGAGUGCAAAGUGAAAGUGAUAGGCAAAAUUUUCAGGUUAGUUUCAGAAAAGAAAUUUGAGUGCUCUGUACCAGGAAUACAUCAGCAGGUUUAAAAUUUUCUUGGGAAUGCCUGUAUCUCUGCACCGUACCAAUAAUCGGCCAUGGUAUGUCUCUUUGUAAAAGUGUGAGGACAGUGAGAUUUCUUUUCUGUAUUCUUUAGCAGCUUUUGUAUUUUGAAAGAUUUUAAUGUCUUUUCACAUCCACUUUUUUCCAAGAAACUUUGCAAAAUUCCAUAACUCUCCAUCAUGAAAAAAGAUUUGGCCACAUAUUCAUUGUUAACCAGAGAGACUGUCAUGUGUUGUUCUUUCAAUUGGUUGCCCAGAAUGUUUAGACCCUUCUGUUUAACUCUUUUAUAUAUUCCCAAUUCGUCUGUUGAUUAAGUUUUUUUUUUGAGAAAAUAGCAUUUCUCGAAUUUUAAUUUUUUCUCUUUUUCUCUAAUUCUAGAUGAGAAAAAUGACUCUUUGGCUAUAAUAGACGACCUUCUAAGGAAAGCAGACUAUGGUGAAGAUUUUAUACCAUCAGAUGCAACUUUAUUCCAAGGCAUCGAAUUCCCCAAAUCUGCGGAGGUGAGAUUAAUACUGUUUUAUGAGUGUUACUCAAACAUCCAAGAACUGACUGGGUGUGUAGGUCUUUUCCUUUCAGCCGAAAUUAUUAUAUUAUUUGCAGUCUAUCCCCAUGUGCUUGAGAGCUGAUAACUCUUUUUAUUUCACCUUUAAUUCUGUUUGUUCGGAUUCUGCAAGAAAUAGAACUUGCAGAAUUGCAGAGGUCUUAUUUCCAUCUUUGUCAUGCUCCGCCACUAUGUUUGUUGUGUUCAUCACAUUUGAAUCGGGACGUGCGAAAACCGCUAAUGUCCAUUUUUCUAAUCCUCAGUUUUUAAAGUUGAUAAUAUUUUUAAGAGUUGAUACAACCAUAAAACUCGUUUUGGGAUUAAGGUAACCCAGAGACGAGUAUUAACGCCACUUUCGUGGUUGCAUCCAACUCCGAUAAGUAUUAUCAACUCAAAAAAACUGAAGACUGGAAUAAUGGACAUUCGCGGUUUUCGCACGUCCUGAUUCAUUUGAGACGAAUUUCUAACCCGCCCCAGUUUUAGUUUUUUUUUUUUCUUAGUAAUCGCAGGAUCUCUUGGUUUCGCUUAUUUUAUCUUUUUCUUUGUAAAUUAUUGUAACACAAAACUUUUUUAGGCUUUAGAAUUUGAAGCCUCUGAAGCAGGAAGAAAGCCGCAGAAGAACGUUUACACGAAUCCCGUC
rnacentral:lncRNA from 1 species